UUGCAUUGGUACUCCUGUUCCAUGUGAAUUCCUUCUGCCAUUCCCCAUACACAUAUAUAAAUAUAUUAUCUAGAAUGUCAAGGUGCCUUCUGAAUUAAAAUUGCACAUUCAGUUUUCUUUGAAACAUAAAAUAUUGGGACAAUCCUAAGUAACAAGCUUUGCCAAUCAAUGAGUGUAUAUAUGCAUGUGUGGAUCAUUUACUGUGUUCUAAUUGGAGAAGAAUCAAAGCUCACAAGAUUCAACAUGUAUGGUAUUUAACUCGAUUGUGACACCAUAACCUCUUAGCAGACUCCAUGCUUUGCUCUCAUUUAUCCUGAUAUAGUCUCUGAAGAAGUGGUAUAUGACCUCGAAAGUCGGUAGACGGUCCAAAUUUAUCUGCCUGAACAGCUGCUGGUAGGCUAAAAUUUUCACUGUCAUAUGUCAUUUUCAUUUCAUAGGUGUGGAGAACCUCUUUCUCAUAAUAGUUGCUAGACCUGGAAAUGUAUGCCAAAUGAUUCAAAUAAAACAGACACAUUGGAGCUCCCCAGAUGAAUGAUCAGUUUUUGAAACAUAUUUUUGGAGUAAAAGAAAAGAUUAGAGAACAAUGUUCUCUAAACCUAAUUUUAUAAGAACAAAAAGGAAACUGUAGUCUGCACAGAAACUGGAAAUGCUGGUAUUCAUGAAUUGAAGUGUCUAUCCCAAUAACUAUUCACCCGUUAAAAAAAUACUGUUUAUUGUGACCAGAACUUAGGUUAAUACAUCUCGGAAGAUAGGGAAUUUGCCAUUUUAUUGGAGAGCUCAUUAGUGGAGCUCUUUUUGUCACUUGCAAGGCUCUCAAAUUAACUUAUGCAAUCUAGUAAUAUCCUUGUCCUUUGAAACAUCCAUUCAUCCUAGCCAAGAAUAACUCAUAGUGAUAUAAAAUUUACUCAAAUCAUCGGUACCAAGUCUGUAAGUGCAUUCAACUGUGAUGUUUCUCCCUCCAGGAUUCACCAAAUGGUGACAUUCAUAUUUUCUGUAGUGUGCUGUUUCAGCUCUUAGAAAGACACAAUGAAAACUAAGAUGACUCUGACAUGGACAUUAGUACUGGUCAAGUGACUCAAACCCAAGACUGGUGGAUGCAACUGCAAUAGCUUAGCUAAUGCGUUCAGUGAAUUGGUUUUCUGUUUGGGCAGACUUUUGCACCAAUAACUUCAUAGAUGUUUUUCUGUAUCCUUACCAGAUUUUACAAGUUUUAAAGAACUGUCUAACUUUUAAGUGGGAGUGGAAAAUCAGUUGAGUUUAAAGAAAAGAAGUUGGACUGUCAAAAAGAAAUGGGUCAUCUGAUGUGUAUUGUGAUCUGCCUGUAGCACCAGAUUUGUGUCGAUCUUUAUUGAACAAUCUCAGAAAUUAAUAUAAUGACACGAAAAAAAAAAAAAAAAAUUCUAUGAAACGAAGAUUUGGCAUA